CAUACAUACAUACAUACAUACAUAUAUGCAUACAAAUGUUUAUAUUUUAGCUGAAAGUUAAGAAAAUGUAUAAAACAUUCAUUGACUUUUCUUGAACUGAAUACCAACACAUACAUACUUACAUUCAUAAAUGCUAUAUAAGAUAUAAGUUAAAAUAUAAAAUGAUAAGAGAAACAAGCUCACAAAGUCGGCGUAGGAAGUUGAGUCAGUAUGUAAUGAUGAAACAAAACUCUUGGCUGCACGGUAAUUGUGUUGGUGACUGCCCACCUCAAAUUUGCUCACGCCAAAAGUACACCAUGCGUAAUUACAGUUACUAAAAAUAAUUAUUAAAGCACAAAAAGGCGUUGCUGGCAGUAUUUGUCUACUACCACAAAUAAAAUAUUAUGUCAAAAUUUUGUAAUUCUAACAUUACUCGUAUUUAAUGCAAGACCUUUGAAUUUCACUGAAAGCGAGAGGAAAUUUUUGUUGGAAUUAGAAAACACGUAAACAGCUGGAACAUGAAAUAGUGGAAGUACUUCUGUUCUAUUUCCGUGUGGCGUUCUAGGAAGUUUCAACAAGUUCCAUCACAUUGUUGUUAUGAAUGGAGCAAAACUAAGUAUCACAUACAAAUGCACUGAAUCACUAAAAUUUCUGCACAAAAUAUAUGUACAUAUUAUGUCAUUUAAACCGUUGAAUUUCAAAAUUUUACCAAAAUUUAUAAACUGUAUGAAAGAAAAAAAAUUAAAAUAAAAACUUUCUACUUCACUAUAUGCCUUACACACUGAA